rnacentral:rRNA from 1 species
GAUGAACGCUGGCGGCGUGCCUAAUACAUGCAAGUCGAGCGAACGGACGAGAAGCUUGCUUCUCUGAUGUUAGCGGCGGACGGGUGAGUAACACGUGGAUAACCUACCUAUAAGACUGGGAUAACUUCGGGAAACCGGAGCUAAUACCGGAUAAUAUUUUGAACCGCAUGGUUCAAAAGUGAAAGACGGUCUUGCUGUCACUUAUAGAUGGAUCCGCGCUGCAUUAUCUAGUUGGUAAGGUAACGGCUUACCAAGGCAACGAUGCAUAGCCGACCUGAGAGGGUGAUCGGCCACACUGGAACUGAGACACGGUCCAGACUCCUACGGGAGGCAGCAGUAGGGAAUCUUCCGCAAUGGGCGAAAGCCUGACGGAGCAACGCCGCGUGAGUGAUGAAGGUCUUCGGAUCGUAAAACUCUGUUAUUAGGGAAGUACAUAUGUGUAAGUAACUGUGCACAUCUUGACGGUACCUAAUCAGAAAGCCACGGCUAACUACGUG